rnacentral:pre_miRNA from 1 species
AAAAAAAACAAACUCUGGUUUUUGUGCCCAACGUUUGACCGUCCGUCUUAUUUGAAAAAAAUAUUAAAAAAAAAAGACAAGUCACGCAUAUUAAUCAUAUUUUAUCAUCUAACAACAACGAAAAUACGAAUUAUAAAAAAAUUUCAUAUGAGACGGACAGUCAAAGUUGGACACGGAAACCCAGGGUUUGUCUUUUU